GAUGAACGCUGGCGGCGUGCCUAAUACAUGCAAGUCGAGCGAACAGACGAGGAGCUUGCUCCUCUGACGUUAGCGGCGGACGGGUGAGUAACACGUGGAUAACCUACCUAUAAGACUGGGAUAACUUCGGGAAACCGGAGCUAAUACCGGAAAAUAUAUGGAACCGCAUGGUUCAAUAGUGAAAGACGGUUUUGCUGUCACUUAUAGAUGGAUCCGCGCCGCAUUAGCUAGUGGGUAAGGUAACGGCUUACCAAGGCAACGAGGCGUAGCCCACCGGAGAGGGUGAUCGGCCACCCUGGAACUGAGCCACGGUCCCGACUCCUACGGGAGGCAGCAGUAGGGAAUCUUCCGCAAUGGGCGAAAGCUUGACGGAGCAACGCCGCGUGAGUGAUGAAGGUCUUCGGAUCGUAAAACUCUGUUAUUAGGGAAGAACAAAUGUGUAAGUAACUAUGCACGUCUUGACGGUACCUAAUCAGAAAGCCACGGCUAACUACGCG
rnacentral:rRNA from 1 species